GGAGGGUUGUCCGAGUGGUCGAUGGUGCGACUCUCGAAAAGUCGUGUUCCGAAAGGGACCUAGGGUUCGAAUCCCUAACCCUCCG
rnacentral:tRNA from 1 species